rnacentral:ribozyme from 1 species
ACACGAAAAAAGGACUGCAUCGAGGCGCCUGCACUUCAAUGCUUUUCAGUAAAGAACAACCAGACCCUGAAUUAUCUCUGAUAUUUAGUUUUCUUAUUUUUUGUUUUUUAGAAGUGUAUUUUGUAGAAGAAGAAAAAGAAGAA